rnacentral:rRNA from 1 species
AGCGAACGCUGGCGGCAGGCCUAACACAUGCGAGUCGAACGAACUCUUCGGAGUUAGUGGCGGACGGGUGAGUAACACGUGGGAACGUGCCUUUAGGUUCGGAAUAACUCAGGGAAACUUGUGCUAAUACCGAAUGUGCCCUUCGGGGGAAAGAUUUAUCGCCUUUAGAGCGGCCCGCGUCUGAUUAGCUAGUUGGUGAGGUAAAGGCUCACCAAGGCGACGAUCAGUAGCUGGUCUGAGAGGAUGAUCAGCCACAUUGGGACUGAGACACGGCCCAAACUCCUACGGGAGGCAGCAGUGGGGAAUCUUGCGCAAUGGGCGAAAGCCUGACGCAGCCAUGACGCGUGAAUGAUGAAGGUCUUAGGGUUGUAAAAUUCUUUCACCGGGGACGAUAAUGACGGUACCCGGAGAAGAAGCCCCGGCUAACUUCGUG